GUGGUCGGUUUUUCUGGAAAAUUUUAAAAAAAUAAAAAUCAAAACUCAAAUACAGCAUGCAACAAAAACAAUCCAAUACAGCAGAAACCAAAUCCAAUACAGCAGCAACAACAACCAAAAACUAAAUGUAAAUACUUUCAAAACUGUACAACACAUACAAAAUGUCCAACAAAAGUUAGUAUGAAAAAACUACAACAAUAGUUUCAAACAACAAAAUGUCUAAAUUCAAAGUAGAACACAUACAAAAAUAAAAAAACUAAAAGUUAUUGUCAUUGAAUUCGUCCUCGUCUUCCAUAUCAUCAUCCGUGCUAAAAUCA
rnacentral:lncRNA from 1 species